AUACUUACCUGGCAGAGGAGAUACCAUGAUCACGAACGUUGUUUUCCCAGGGUGAGGCUCAUCCAUUGCACUAUGGGUGUACUGACCCCCUGUGAUUUCCCCAAAUAGGGGAAACUCAACUGCAUAAUUUGUGAUAGUGGUGGACUGUGUUCGCGCUCUCCCCUG